rnacentral:rRNA from 1 species
CUUAACAGGAUUAGAUACCCUGGUAGUCCACGCCCUAAACGAUGCACACUAGUUGUUGUGAGGCUAGACCUUGCAGUAAUGCAGUUAACACAUUAAGUGUGCCGCCUGGGGAGUACGGUCGCAAGAUUAAAACUCAAAGGAAUAGACGGGGACCCGCACAAGCGGUGGAGCAUGUGGUUUAAUUCGACGAUACACGAAGAACCUUACCUGGACUUGACAUAGUAAGAACUUUCUAGAGAUAGAUUGGUGUCUGCUUGCAGAAACUUAUAUACAGGUGCUGCACGGCUGUCGUCAGCUCGUGUCGUGAGAUGUUGGGUUAAGUCCCGCAACGAGCGCAACCCUCGUCAUUAGUUGCUAACAGUUCGGCUGAGAACUCUAAUGAGACUGCCUACGCAAGUAGGAGGAAGGUGAGGACGACGUCAAGUCAUCAUGGCCCUUACGUCCAGGGCUACACACGUGCUACAAUGGGGUAUACAAAGAGCCGCAAUACGGUGACGUGGAGCAAAUCUCAAAAAUAUCUCCCAGUUCGGAUUGUAGUCUGCAACUCGACUACAUGAAGUUGGUAUCGCUAGUAAUCGUAGAUCAGCUAUGCUACGGUGAAUACGUUCCCGGGUCUUGUACUCACCGCCCGUCACACCAUGGGAGUUGAACUCAUUCGAAGCGGGGAUGCUAAAAUAGCUACCUUCCACAGUGGAUUCAGCGACUGGGGUGAAGUCGUAACAAGGUAACC